GUGGCUGUGGCUCAACGGUAGAGCACUUGCCUAGCAAGUGUGAGGCCCUGGGUUCAAUCCUCAGCACCACA
rnacentral:tRNA from 1 species